GACGAACGCUGGCGGCGUGCUUAACACAUGCAAGUCGAGCGGUAAGGCCCUUUCGGGGGUACACGAGCGGCGAACGGGUGAGUAACACGUGGGUGACCUGCCCUCAGCUCUGGGAUAAGCCUGGGAAACCGGGUCUAAUACCGGAUAUGACUCCAUGACGCAUGUUGUGGGGUGGAAAGCCUUGUGCGGCUGAGGAUGGGCCCGCGGCCUAUCAGCUUGUUGGUGGGGNGAUGGCCUACCAAGGCGACGACGGGUAGCCGGCCUGAGAGGGCGGACCGGCCACACUGGGACUGAGACACGGCCCAGACUCCUACGGGAGGGCAGCAGUGGGGAAUCUUGCGCAAUGGGCGAAAGCCUGACGCAGCGACGCCGCGUGAGGGAUGACGGCCU
rnacentral:rRNA from 1 species